UAAUUAUAUAAUUGCUAUCAUAAUAAAAAAGCUUUGCUAAAAUGAAAUAAAGCAAUUUAAAAAUUACUUUUAUUUAUUUUUCAAGAUAAGGUCCCAUGCAAUCUUUUUUCUCUGAAGUAUUGGCUUCCUUUCCCUGGAUUCACAUUAAACAACCCUUCCAACUCCUAAUUAUCUUAAAAUAACAAGGACCACUUACAAGUAGAUGUAGCUUUUUGUAUGUUUUUUCUUUUUAGUGUUCUUUCUUCUUGAAUUUUCCCCAGAACUGGAGAAUAUAUAUACAGAUAAUAUUUCCUCAGUUUACAGAUGUGAAGUCAGUGGAUAUGGCUUUCUAUGUGUGAGUGCAAAAGUUCUAAGUAAUAAUCAGCCAGAUGGACUGGGAACAUUGAGAAGCAGACUUCCUCUACUUUUUAAACUCAUUCUUUGCUACUCACAUCACUGUAAAUAAAAUAUUUAGUAGCUCUUUCUUUAAAAAAUAAACACAAUGAGUUUUU
rnacentral:lncRNA from 1 species